rnacentral:rRNA from 1 species
UACGUAGGGGGCAAGCGUUGUCCGGAAUCAUUGGGCGUAAAGAGCGUGUAGGCGGCCCGAUAAGUCCGCCGUGAAAGUCCAGGGCUCAACCCUGGGAUGCCGGUUGAUACUGCCGGACUAGAGUUCGGAAGAGGCGAGUGGAAUUCCCGGUGUAGCGGUGAAAUGCGCAGAUAUCGGGAGGAACACCAAUGGCGAAGGCAGCUCGCUGGGACGUUACUGACGCUGAGACGCGAAAGCGUGGGGAGCGAACAGG